rnacentral:RNase_P_RNA from 1 species
CAGGACGGCCGGACGGUCGCACCGGCUUGCGAUAUUGCAAACCGGCGAGGAAAGUCCGGGCUCCGCAGAGCAGAGACGCUGGAUAACGUCCAGGCUUCACGGGGGGAACCCCGUGGGGACGGAAAGUGCAACAGAAAAUAUACCGCCGAUGGUCCUUCGCAGGAAGGAAUCAGGUAAGGUUGAAAUGGUGCGGUAAGAGCGCACCGGGCCGCCGGAGACGGCGGUCCCUGGAAAACCCCGUCUGGAGCAAGAUCUAACAGGGGAAGGGGCUGCUCGCUCCGUGAACGAACCCCGGGUUGAUCGCUUGAGGCCACGGGUAACCGUGGUCCCAGAGAGAUGACCGUCGCUCCCGCAAGGGAGGCACAGAACCCGGCUUACAGGCCGUCCUGCCUU